CAGUCGCCGCGGUAAUACGUAGGUGGCAAGCGUUGUCCGGAAUUAUUGGGCGUAAAGCGCGCGCAGGCGGAUAGGUCAGUCUGUCUUAAAAGUUCGGGGCUUAACCCCGUGAUGGGAUGGAAACUGCCAAUCUAGAGUAUCGGAGAGGAAAGUGGAAUUCCUAGUGUAGCGGUGAAAUGCGUAGAUAUUAGGAAGAACACCAGUGGCGAAGGCGACUUUCUGGACGAAAACUGACGCUGAGGCGCGAAAGCCAGGGGAGCGAACGAGAUUAGAGACCCGCGUAGUCCCUGUCUCUUAUCAC
rnacentral:rRNA from 1 species